rnacentral:lncRNA from 10 species
AUGUGAAAUUAACCAGAAGCGGUGCAUCUGAUAAUAAAGACAGAAAGAGAUGGUAAUUAGACUUGAACAAGAACAGUGCCUAGACACCACCAAGAAGCUUUACGUGCACUGACAUAACAGUAAACAAAUAUGUAAGUACCACUUCCUUAGCCAUUAUUUCAAAUCUUCAUUAAUAAAACAUUACACUUCAUAUGAGUCCAUGGAUUUUGCAGUAGAUAUUUUAAUCAAAUUGUUUACACACUUAAGAUCCUUGCAAAAACAUAUUUAUCUGGGAUCCUGCCACACUUUAAAGGUGGUCCUGGAGGCAGUACAGUCAACCUGAUUUGGAGUAAGGGCUCCGGAUUCAGAAUACCUAGAUUCCACAUAUUAAGUUAUGUGACCUUAGGGAGGUUGUUUAAUCUUUCUGCACCUCAGUUUCUAUAGCUGUAUAAUGAAAAUAAUAAAAGUAUAGUACUUCAUAGUAGUGUGAAGUUUAAAUGACUUAUAUAUGUAUGUAGUGUUUAGCAUCUACCAUUUUGUGUCUAAAAGUGAUAGCAAACUGGGUGGGUGGCUCAUGCCUGUAAUACCAGCUACUCCAGAGGCUGAGGGAGGAGGAUUGCUUGAGCCCAGGAGUUUGAGACAAUAGUGAGCUAUGAUCACACCACUGUACUCCAGCCUGGGUAACAGAGGGAGACUCUAUCCCCCCGCCAAAAAAAUAGCAAAAUAUAGUAUUGCCUUAGUCCAUUUUGUGCUGCUAUGACAAAAUACCACAGACUAGGUGAUUUAUAAUGAACAGAAAUUUAUUUCUUACAGUUCUGGAGGCUGGGAAGUCCAAGAUCAAGGCACCAACAGUUUGGUGUCUGGUAAGGACCUGGUCUCUACUUCCAAGAUGGUGCCUUGAGCACUGCAUCUUCCAGAGUUGGGGAAUGCUGUUUUUCACAUGGCAGAGGAGAAGAGCCAAGAGAGUAACUGACUCCUGAAAGCCCUUUUUAAAAGGCAUUAAACUCAUCCAAAAGGGCAGAGUCCUCAUGGGCAAAUCACCUCCUAAAGGUCCACCUCUGUAUACUAUUACAAGGGCAAUUAAAUUUCAGGGAGUUUUGGAGGGAACAAACACUCUGGGGACUGUUGUGGGGUGGGGGGAGGGGGGAGGGAUAGCAUUGGGAGAUAUACCUAAUGCUAGAUGACGAGUAAGUGGGUACAGCGCACCAGCAUGUCACAUGUAUACAUAUGUAACUAACCUGCACAUUGUGCCCAUGU